UGCUCCCUAAGUACUCCACAGAGGAGUCCCCAGCCCCGAUGCUGCCCCGAUGGCCAUAGGGGCACAGCCAAAACAGCACUCUCAAGAGGCAAGUUUUCAAGGACAACCCCAACUUCAAAAACCACCCUGAGCCAUCGUCUCUUUGCAAACUGGUUCCCCAGAAUGGAAGGUGAUUAGAAUUGCAGGGGUGGGGCUGGGGGGUGUGCAGGGAGGGAGAGAAUGGCGAUGCCUCUCUCAACACUGGAGAGCAAGCCCGGUGCCCCCUCCCAUGGGGUCAGGGAGGGGAGAGACAGCCAUGCUCCGUGUAACUGCCACCCACUGGCUGGUCCUCUAGGCUGAGUCGUGCCCCCAUCCAGGUCCCUAUCACGAGGUGGAGACCAUGGUAGCCCCCUCCCCCUCAGGGGCCUGUUGGGAUGGUCACCUGUAAAGGACCAAACUCCAGCAGCAUGGCCUCCCCUGUGUCAUGGGGAGCUCCGAGUUCCACCUCCCAGUCCGAUCUGCACACAGUCACUCUGAGUCUGCGCAGGGCAGGGCCCUGGCCUCCAUGCUGCGCGCAACACAGGACUAGGACCCACUCCCUGGCCCCUGGGCACUCACAGCCCCAGAGCAAGAGCGGAGUCAGGCAAGCUCCUGGAAGACGGGCUGCACCCCCACAGACAGAGUGGGAAGGGUCCGCGGGCGCCCGCGGUAGGGGGACAAGCAGGCUGGAGUUAGGAGUGGGCCUGAGGUCAGGCUCUGAUUUGCCAACUAGGCGAGGCUGCUCUUGGCUGCAGAAGCUGAAGGAACACAGGAAGGGAAGCUCAGAUGUUGCCAGAAGCAGGCACGCAGCUGGGACUGGGCGAAGGGUCUGUCCCGCGACACGAGCCAGGAGAGCAGAUCUGGGACCUGUGCAGGGCAUGGCUCUGCAGGGCCCUCUAAAAAGGAAGCCAGGGGAUGAGCAUUGGAUUGGCACAGCACUUAAGACGCGGCCUGAGAUGCCUGGGUCCCACACAGGAGUGCCUGGGUUCAAGUUCUGGCCCUGCCUGCUGAUCUGCACCUGGGGAAGCAGCAGGUGAGAUGGCUCAAGUACUUGGGUCGCUCCCAGCACGCACAUGCGAGACCCAGGACCGAGUUCCCAGCUCCCAGCCUCAGCCAGUCCUAGCCUCAGCUUAUGGGCAUUUGGGGAGCGAACCAGUGGAUGGAAGACUAUCUGUGUAUGUGUGUGUCUGUCUCUCUCCCUAUGUCUGUCUCUCUCAGUCUCUGCUUUUCAAAUGAAAACAAUUAACAUGUAUUUAAAUGUUUAAAAAUAAAACCAGAUCCAGAGAGGUCA
rnacentral:lncRNA from 1 species